CCGAAUGGUACCUUCUUUCACAGGUUACCAUGUUGCUCUGCAUACCCCUGCCUGGUCACAACGUUCCUAGCCACGCCGAUUCGCUCUCUGGAGAGAAGCUUACAUAAACGAAAUAAUUUGGUCCCCGUUAUACUACUUCGGCACCCUUUAAUCCUCCAUAAUAAAUAUUUAAACGCUCACAAGUAAGAUAUAUUUUACUUUCUAUAAUGCUAUCCCAAGUGCAAUCAUGCGUAACGGCCACUAUUUAAACUAGUAGAACAAUGACCAUCUAGCUAGUUCGUUACAACCACGCUGCUUCGCGGACAUGACUCUUAAUGGCAGAGACUAAAGCUCUAGAAGCUCCACAAGUGCCGCUUGAAUAACUAGCAGUGCAACCGGCUGAGCCGGAUAAUGUUGCGGUGGUGAGUGUUCUCGUUCUUUAAUGGCGUUGGGGGUUUAUGGAAGUUUCUUAUAUUUAUUGUACGAAUUUGGUUUUGGUUUAGCCUUUAGCUGUAUAUGCCGGUGGUUGUGCUAAAAGAGUCAUGCCCUAUUUCGUCGGUGUUUAUCGCCUUAGCCGUUAUCGUAUAUUUUCAGUCAUUGUUGGUUUCUUAGUUUUUCUCGCUCCUCGCCAUUUUACUAUUGUUUUCUCAUGCUUAGCUCCUGUGUUAAAAUUUACAGUCUGCUGUACAUUAUUUAGCAUUCUAUACUGUAAUUUUUCUGUGCAGGUAAUGUUCUUCCGUUUGCCAUCCGCUGUGGUAUUACAUUUUAAUUUUCACGUGGCCUGGUACAUUCUUAGCGUAGUUUUGUAUUCUUGUAGAGGUUUUGCACGGUCUAGUCAUUCUUGCGUGUGCUUUAUUUAUUUUUACUAUGGUUUUGGACUUGUUUUUAGCAUUCAUGUUAACAUUUGUUUUGUUGGAGACUGUAUUCUCGGUGGCAGGUUUUGUUUUGCCCGGAAUUAAAAGAAUACGAAAUGCGAAAGUCUGAGGUUGUGGCCCGGACUAAGAAAAUACGAAAGUCUAAAGUUGUGGCUCGGUGUUUAUCGCAUUUAUCGCAUUUUCCGUAAUUGUUUUUUUUUUAGUCGUUGUAGGUUUCUUAGUGUUCUCGCUCCUGUCCAUUUUACUAUUGUUUUCUCAUGUUUAGCUAAUGUGUUAAAUGUACAGUCUGCUGUACUUUGAUUAAUUUUCUAUACUGUAAUUUUUCUGUACAGUUAAUGUUCUUCUAUUUGCCGUAUCCGCCGUGGUAUUACAUUUUAAUUUCCACGUUGCCUGGUACAUUCUUGGCGUAGUUUUGUAUUCUUGUAGAGGUUUUGCACGGUCUAGUCAUUCUUGCUUUAUUUAUUUUUACUAUGGUUUUGGACGUGUUUUUAGCAUUCAUGUUAACAUUUGUUUUGUUGGAGACUGUAUUCACGGUGGGAGGAACAAAAACUAUACGAAAUACAAAAGUCUGUGGUUGUGACCCGGACGAUGAAAAUACGAAAGUCUGAGGUUGUGGCCCAGAGAGUAAAUGUUUGUCCGAGGUUGUGGCCCGGACUAAGAAAAUACGAAAGUCUGAGGUUGUGGCCCAGACAGUAAAUGUUUGUCCGAGGUUGUGGCCCGGACUAAGAAAAUACGAAAGUCUGAGGUUGUGGCCCGGACUAAGAAAAUACGAAAGUCUGAGGUUGUGGCCCAGGCAGUAAAUGUUUGUCCGAGGUUGUGGCCCGGACUAUGAAAAUACGAAAGUCUGAGGUUGUGGCCCGGACUAAGAAAAUACGAAAGUCUGAGGUUGUGGCCCAGACAGUAAAUGUUUGUCCGAGGUUGUGGCACGGACUAUGAAAAUACGAAAGUCUGAGGUUGUGGCCCAGACAGUAAAUGUUUGUCCGAGGUUGUGGCCCGGACUAUGAAAAUACGAAAGUCUGUGGUUGUGGCCCAGACAGUAAAUGUUUGUCCGAGGUUGUGGCCCGGACUAUGAAAAUACGAAAGUCUGAGGUUGUGGCCCGGACUAAGAAAAUACGAAAGUCUGAGGUUGUGGCCCAGACAGUAAACGUUUGUCCGAGGUUGUGGCACGGACUAUGAAAAUACGAAAGUCUGAGGUUGUGGCCCGGACUAAGAAAAUACGAAAGUCUGAGGUUGUGGCCCAGACAGUAAAUGUUUGUCCGAGGUUGUGGCACGGACUAUGAAAAUACGAAAGUCUGAGGUUGUGGCCCGGACUAAGAAAAUACGAAAGUCUGAGGUUGUGGCCCGGACUAAGAAAAUACGAAAGUCUGAGGUUGUGGCCCAGACAGUAAACGUUUGUCCGAGGUUGUGGCACGGACUAUGAAAAUACGAAAGUCUGAGGUUGUGGCCCGGACUAAGAAAAUACGAAAGUCUGAGGUUGUGGCCCAGACAGUAAAUGUUUGUCCGAGGUUGUGGCACGGACUAUGAAAAUACGAAAGUCUGAGGUUGUGGCCCGGACUAAGAAAAUACGAAAGUCUGAGGUUGUGGCCCGGACUAAGAAAAUACGAAAGUCUGAGGUUGUGGCCCAGACAGUAAAUGUUUGUCCGAGGUUAUGGCCCGGACUAAGAAAAUACGAAAGUCUGAGGUUGUGGCCCAGACAGUAAAUGUUUGUCCGAGGUUGUGGCAUGGACUAUGAAAAUACGAAAGUCUGAGGUUGUGGCCCAGACAGUAAAUGUUUGUCCGAGGUUGUGGCCCGGACUAUGAAAAUACGAAAGUCUGAGGUUGUGGCCCAGACAGUAAAUGUUUGUCCGAGGUUGUGGCCCGGACUAUGAAAAUACGAAAGUCUGAGGUUGUGGCCCAGACAGUAAAUGUUUGUCCGAGGUUGUGGCCCGGACUAUGAAAAUACGAAAGUCUGGGGUUGUGGCCCAGACAGUAAAUGUUUGUUCGACGUUGUGGCCCGGACAGUAUGAGGUUGUGGCCCGGACUAAGAAAAUACGAAAGUCUGAGGUUGUGGCCCUGACUAAGAAAAUACGAAAGUCUGAGGUUGUGGCCCAGACAGUAAAUGUUUGUCCGAGGUUGUGGCACGGACUAUGAAAAUACAAAAGUCUGAGGUUGUGGCCCGGACUAAGAAAAUACGUAAGUCUGAGGUUGUGGCCCGGACUAAGAAAAUACGAAAGUCUGAGGUUGUGGCCCGGACUAAAAAAAUACGAAAGUCUGAGGUUGUGGCCCAGACAGUAAAUGUUUGUCCGAGGUUAUGGCCCGGACUGCAAAUAGCGAAAUGAAUCACUGACUUGUCUUGAAUCAUAUACAAAAAAUUGUGAACACUUCCUCAGAAACUAUCCUGACGGUUAAUUCUGGUGACUUUAACCCUGCCAGUACUUGACUAAAAGAGAACUUUGUCAGAUCCAAAUGUGGAUUGAAACAGAUUAUUACUGUUCUCAACAGAGAUUCAGGCAUCUUUGGUUGGUGCCUCACUAAUAGGCUUGAACUAUUCAAGUCAACUUCUCAACUUCCUAAGUUGGGGAGUAGUAACCACUACACUAUCUAUAUUUCACCGAACAAGUCUGAGACUCAGAUAGCAGUCAAACAAACAUUUUGGUCAUGGGACUUACGACCUAGCAGAUUAAGGGCCUUUGGGAGGCGGAUAACCUCUUUCACUUGGGACAAUAUCAUGAGUCUUCCUUGUGCUGAGGAUAAAUUUGUUGCGUUUUACAAUCUGAUCACUUCAGCUGUCGAUGCCUAUUUACCACUUACAAAGAUCAAGCUGUGUAGUAAUAGCACUGGUGGGGUGAAGUCAAAGCUAUUGGAGGGCUGACCGAAUCUUGUGACUGGUGACAUUAAUUGUUAGAUCCUAAUAUACCUACCUUACACUCAUUGUGUGAGAAGUUCUUCUAUUGGUUAACUGAGGACUUCUCUCCACUUGAACCACCAACUGAUAAAUGUCAAGACCCUGUCUCAAGCGAUCUAGUGAACUUGUGUCCACUAGGAAAGUAUUCCAAGCUCUAAGGGGCAUUAAGAUCAAGAAAUCCCCUGGUCCAGCCUGUGAUAAGCGAUCAUCUGUAUAUGUCCAGUCUGCAGGGGGGGUAUGUUCCUGAGAGGAUCAAGAAGUUUAUUGUGCACCCAUUACACAAGUGCAGCCCCCCGAACGAGGACCUUGGAUCAAUUACCCUCAUUCCCCAGUUGCCCAAAGUCCUGGAAGGCUUUGCAAUAGACUCCUUGUUAGUACAGGUACUGUAAUUUACAAACUUGAUCUAAAGCAGUUUUCUGUGAGUGGAUAAUCGACCACCCAGGCUUUUGGAUACUUUAUUCAUAGUAUUUUGGAAUCUCUAGAUAGUAGAGAGAACUUUGCUCGAGUUUUCUUUGCAGACUUCUUAAAAGGUUUCGGUUUAGUUGACCACACUGUGUUAAUAAGAGAGCUUAACAUCCUAGGUGUAAAAAGCCAUCUUGCUCAAUGGAUAGGGGCUUUUCUAACAGCUAGACCUCAAAGUUAAUAUUUGCGAUACAGUAUCUUCUAGACCAAAAGGGAACAAUAUGGGCUUGAUCGUCUACUUUCAUUGAAUGGGAUAAAAACUAUAGAAAGAAGGAAAACAGUCAACUACCAAAAAACGUGUUUCCCGCUAUACGUCAUAUACACAACCGGUCUUAAGUUUUAUCUUAAUAUGCAAACAAAAAUAUCUAUAAUUUAAUACUCAUUAUGUAUACUAUAGUUCUUUUUACUAUUUAUGAAAUCUAACGUCCUUCACACUGUCGGCCUAGACUAGCUAAGCUAUUUGCCGACAGUGUGUCUAUGUAAAAUAUUAUUUGUAAAA